AAAUAACAUUCGUGAAUUUUUUUUUUCGCGGAUUUGAGUUUUCCAGUAUUUUAUUAUAAAAAAUGUUGGUAACUUUAAAAUUAUUUUAUUUCUUGGUUACAAGUUAAAAACGUACUAUAUGUGUGGUUCGUUGAUAAUUUGUCCAUCUAUAUAUAUUAUGUUUGUACUUGGUCCACAUUGGGUUCUGUAUGAACAUAUAUUUUUU
rnacentral:misc_RNA from 1 species